rnacentral:rRNA from 1 species
AUUGAACGCUGGCGGCAGGCCUAACACAUGCAAGUCGAACGGUAGCACAGAGAGCUUGCUCUCGGGUGACGAGUGGCGGACGGGUGAGUAAUGUCUGGGAAACUGCCCGAUGGAGGGGGAUAACUACUGGAAACGGUAGCUAAUACCGCAUAACGUCGCAAGACCAAAGUGGGGGACCUUCGGGCCUCACACCAUCGGAUGUGCCCAGAUGGGAUUAGCUAGUAGGUGGGGUAAUGGCUCACCUAGGCGACGAUCCCUAGCUGGUCUGAGAGGAUGACCAGCCACACUGGAACUGCGACACGGUCCAGACUCCUACGGGAGGCAGCAGUGGGGAAUAUUGCACAAUGGGCGCAAGCCUGAUGCAGCCAUGCCGCGUGUAUGAAGAAGGCCUUCGGGUUGUAAAGUACUUUCAGCGGGGAGGAAGGCGGUGAAGUUAAUAGCUUCACCGAUUGACGUUACCCGCAGAAGAAGCACCGGCUAACUCCGUGCCAACAGCCGCCGCCG